rnacentral:rRNA from 1 species
UAAGUUGGGGAUAACUCCGGGAAACCGGGGCUAAUACCGAAUGAUAAAGUGUGGCGCAUGCCACGCUUUUGAAAGAUGGUUUCGGCUAUCGCUUACAGAUGGGCCCGCGGUGCAUUAGCUAGUUGGUAGGGUAAUGGCCUACCAAGGCAACGAUGCAUAGCCGACCUGAGAGGGUGAUCGGCCACACUGGGACUGAGACACGGCCCAGACUCCUACGGGAGGCAGCAGUAGGGAAUCUUCCGCAAUGGACGAAAGUCUGACGGAGCAACGCCGCGUGUAUGAAGAAGGUUUUCGGAUCGUAAAGUACUGUUGUUAGAGAAGAACAAGGAUAAGAGUAACUGCUUGUCCCUUGAC